AUAACUAGCUAAACCGCAGUACUCUAGGGCAUUCAUUUGUUACAUAGAAUACUGAGGCCUAGCUGAUUAU
rnacentral:pre_miRNA from 1 species